rnacentral:rRNA from 1 species
CGAGAAACUUAAAGGAUUGACGGGGCCCGCACAAGCGGUGGAGCAUGUGGUUUAAUUCGAUGAUACGGCGAGGAACCUUACCUGGGCUCAAAUGUAUGUUGACGUAUUCUGAAAGGGAUACUUCUUCGGACAAUAUACAAGGUGCUGCAUGGUUGUCGUCAGCUCGUGCCGUGAGGUGUCGGGUUAAGUCCCAUAACGAGCGCAACCCCUAUCAUUAGUUGCCAUCAGGUCAAGCUGGGGACUCUAAUGAAACUGCCUACGCAAGUAGUGAGGAAGUGGGGAUGACGUCAAAUCAGCACGGCCCUUACGUCCAGGGCUACACACGUGCUACAAUGGCCGAUACAGAGGGCAGCUACCUGGUGACAGGAUGCAAAUCUCCAAAGUCGGUCUCAGUUCGGAUCGGAGUCUGCAACCCGACUCCGUGAAGUUGGAUUCGCUAGUAAUCGCGCAUCAGCCAUGGCGCGGUGAAUACGUUCCCGGGCCUU